rnacentral:rRNA from 1 species
UACGUAGGGGGCGAGCGUUGUCCGGAUUUAUUGGGCGUAAAGAGCUCGUAGGCGGUUCGAUAAGUCGGACGUGAAAUCUCCACGCUCAACGUGGAGGGGCCGUUCGAUACUGUCGUGACUCGAGUCCGGUAGGGGAGUGUGGAAUUCCCGGUGUAGCGGUGAAAUGCGCAGAGAUCGGGAGGAACACCCGUAGCGAAGGCGGCACUCUGGGCCGGUACUGACGCUGAGGCGCGAAAGCUAGGGGAGCAAACAGG